CCGGAGGGAAGAGAAAAUGCCGGCAUGCAUUACUGUUCGCGUUCGCAUCAGUCGCGCGUAACGCAGGAAACACGUUAUCGUCGUUCUGCUUCUCUCGCGGUUUUAUCCAUUGGAAAAAUGGACGCGCGCCACACAGCAAAGAACACCGAUUCGCGAAAGGGGUAAAUCGCGAUUGAGAUCAUCGAGGUAUCCUGCACCGAGAUCACCGAAAUAUCCUGUUCAAGUGAGUGCAUUCCAUGAUUCAUCAUUCAACCGGGCAGCUCCGCGGAAAUUUCGCCGUGUCCUCUCGACCGUGUUGGCGCAGUGUUUCGUUCCCGCUAAAGUAAGGGCUCUUCGAAAGAGCCGGAUUGCAUUUGCACGAUUCGAACGGCGACCCGUACUUUCACUCGGUCGUUUGUACCCCGUCGGCACGGCGAGCCCUCGCCGCCGUAAACGCGAAGAGGAGAACGUCAGGGACGCGGAGCGGCGCGACGCGAGAAGGGAGGAGAGACUCCGGGCAGAAGGAGAAACGCGAGAAGAGGAAGCACACACGCACGCACGUACGCAUAUAUAUACGAAGAAACGAACGAAACGAAGCGAGUGGGCGCUCGCGAGUCCGGGGAGAGGUUUAGUGACCUCGGCGUGUCGUCGUCGUCCUAAAGAGAAGUAGAAGGAGUAGGACGACGACGACGACGAACUACGACGACGACCACGACGACGACGACGAGCACGAGCACGAGUACGAGUACGAGCGCAAGCACGACGACGCCGAGGCGCAACGAGACGACGAGGAGUGGCCGAGAAGAAGAAGAGCAAAUUGGUGCUCCCGGUAGCAGGGGCCCAUGAACACCGUGGAGGAAACAUUGCGCAACGUGUCGAG